CUACAAUCUAUAAUAUUACUUUAAUAUAUUACUUUAAAGAUAUUAUGGAAAUGAGUUGGAGAGUGGUGCAUUUUAUGAAAGAAAAUACGGUAGAAGCCGUGUCAGCGACCUGGGUCAAGAAUAAUUAUGCAUGUUUUUGGCCAUCAUACAGUGGAUUAAAAUUAAGGAAUAUAAUACAAAAUUGCAUCCCACCUGCUCAUGAUUGGGAUCUUCAUCAAUGCAGGCUAAUUGGUGAAUUUUAUAGAUCUGAGUGUUGCAAGAAAUAAAGCAGCUCAAGCUGAAGAAACUUCUGAUUUAGCAUCAGACAAUGAAAGAUGUGGAAGAAAAACUAAAAGAAAAAGAUUUACGUCUGAUUCAGAUUCAGAUUCAAGACCAAUUAACACUUUUACCACUUUCUUUCAAAAAAAGAGCAUUAUAAAUUAUAAAGAAAAUAAAGAAAAUGAAGAAAGUGAAGAAAGUGAAGAAA